UAGCAUGGGCAGCAAACAUAAAAAAAUUGGAUCAAUUGGGAGAACAUUAGCAUGGCUGCUGGGCCAGGAUGACAUGCAAAUUUGUGAAGCAUUCCAUAUUUUA